UACGGAGGGAGCUAGCGUUGUUCGGAAUUACUGGGCGUAAAGCGUGCGCAGGCGGUUCUAUAAGACAGAUGUGAAAUCCCCGGGCUCAACCUGGGAACUGCAUUUGUGACUGUAGAGCUGGAGUACGGCAGAGGGGGAUGGAAUUCCGCGUGUAGCAGUGAAAUGCGUAGAUAUGCGGAGGAACACCGAUGGCGAAGGCAAUCCCCUGGGCCUGUACUGACGCUCAUGCACGAAAGCGUGGGGAGCAAACAGG
rnacentral:rRNA from 1 species